rnacentral:lncRNA from 1 species
GUCAUUAUAACAUUAACCAAGAUAUCAAAAUCUACCAAUAUAAUUGUUGGAUAGUGUGAUAAAUCUCCAACGAGCUUCCAACCUAAUCGAGCUUCUGAUAGUCUGAAAAGUAAAGAAAAAUAACUACGUAAGCAAUGACUGCUUCGUAAGAUCAUAUAAACUUUAAUCAUAUCUAUCCAUUUCAAAUAUGAAAUUUAUACAUUUCAAGAAUAAUCAUAUAUCGAUACCACACGAUUCAUGAAACCAAAUUCAACAACUCAUAAAUUGAAUAAUUCCACAGUAUCACUUAUACCUAUCAUCCUUAACAAAGUAGGAUUUUAUAAAAACUUUAAACCUCUUUCAAUUUUCUUCCUUUCAUUUGCAUGUUAUUACUUUCCAUUACAUUUACUUUCUUUAUCUUAAAUAACAUCAUCAGUUUAACUCAUCGUUCCAUUUCAUAUUUAUAAUAAACAAGACACAAGCAUAUCAUCAACCAUAGCCAUAAGCUAGUGCAUUUAAACAUAGCUCUUUUAGAGUUAAUCACAUGAUAAACCAUUUCAUAAGAAUUUGCAUAAUUUAAACCUUACCACUUAUUCAAGAGUACAAGUAUAAUUUCAUUUAAGCACUUACCAUUUCAAUACGACUUAUAAGUAAACAUAAUACCAUUUAACCAACAGCUUGGCACUUGCCUAAGCAUCAAACAGCAACACUUGUUAGCAUACUUGAACAUAUUUCAUAUAAAUUCAACAUUGAUAACGUUAUUUUCUCAGCAUGUCACACUUGAGUUCAUUACUCGUCUCAACUUACAUAUUUACCAUUUAUCAAGAUAUCAAAUAUGUUCAUAUAUGUACAUGUCAUGAUACAUAUCACUAUCUUACCGUUUCAUCAUAUACAUAUAUCAUCCAUUACAAUAUAUCAAUAUAUCAUGUACCAUCAUUUCCAUGUAUUUCACAUAUAUACCUGUAUUAGUUCGUAUCGAACUCAUAUCAUCUCGUAAUAGAAUUGUGCCUGUUGAACCACUAGAAUGAUAUCGAAUACGCGGGAAUCUUGCAAACUAUGUACCAACACGUGGUCAAAACCACUACCAUCUCAUAUCUCAUAUCAAUGUUCUCCCUCGAGCCAUAAUUGGGUCUGUUCACACAAAUUGUCAGUCAAGACGUAGCUACACGGUGUUGCUCACACAAGCUGUAAAGUAACCGCAACACAUGCUGAAAACUCAGCCACCAGUAGGACGUAUAAGACCAGCACCCCAAAUGACAUUUCAUUUGUAUCCUAAAUAUUCCUAAGGUUCAAACGGGACCUGACAAUCAUCGUGCGUCGUUGAAUUUUCCUCAUUUCAUUAUAAGCUAAAUCGUAAAAUAACAUAUAUACAUCGAUUCAUUUCCAAUAAAAUUUCAUAUAAUAACAUUCAAUUUAAUCAAAAAUAUACAUAGUAUAAUUCAUACGAACUUACCUAGCUAAAUUGCAGAAAUACCAAAAUUCAGGGGUAUUUUGGUAAUUUUUUAUUUUCCUCGAUUUUUUCAUCCGAUCUUGAUCUAAAUUAAUAAUUUAAUUCAAUAUAUUAAUUUAGACAAUAAAAUAAUUCAUUUCAUAAAAUUUGGUCAUUUUUGACAUUUUAUAAAAUUACCCCUAAAGUUUUACUUUUAUUCUAUUUAGUCCUUGAGCCCAAAACAUGCAAAUUAACCAUUUUUACCCAAAAUUGAGCUUAUCCCAAUGUUCAUGGUAUCCAAAACAGCCCAUUAAUACAAAAAUUUCACAUUAAAUCCUUGUUCUUUUAUUAAUUUAACAAAUUAGUCCCUAAUCGAAAAAUUUAUCAAAAUCACUUAACAAAAUACUUAUAAAUAGAAAUCAACCUUCCAAAUUCAUCAUCUAACAUCAAAAAUCACAAUAUUCAUCAAUGGAAACAUUCAAAAUCUUUAACAGUUUCAAAAUUGAAGGUACGAGCUAGUUGGACCUAGUUGCAACGAUCUCAAAACAUAAAAAUUACAAGAAACUGAUAGUUUAGGGGCUUACAUGCAAGGAAUUUGACUAGCUAAAAUUUUCCAGCAUCCAUGGCUUAUUUCUU